GAAGUACUCCCUCCGUUCCACAAUAUAUGACUUUCAUUUGUUAAAAUAUAGAUGUAUUUAGACAUAUUUUAGUAUAUAAAAACAUUUUUUUUUGAUAAAUGGAAGUCAAGUAUUUUGGAACGGAGGGAGUAGUUC
rfam:Triticum urartu cultivar G1812 contig279876, whole genome shotgun sequence.